rnacentral:lncRNA from 1 species
UUUAUUAUGUUCAAAUAAAAGUUUGCAUCAAAACAAACUCUGAAUCACAUAGAACCACAAAACUGGAAUCAAUCUAAAUGCAAAAUUUAGAACCAAAACAACAACAAAAAACCAACUAAAAUGCAAGCUGAACCCACAGAACUUCGAAUCUGAAACACAAAACUAGAACCAAUCGAACUAAAAUGUGAUGCUGAACUGAAAUAAAAUAGAAGAAAACCGAAACAGAACUUCGAAUUCUGAACCGUAACAGAACUUCAAAUUCUGAACCGUAGCAGAACCAAUCAAACUAAAAUGCGAUGCUGAACCGAAACAAAAUAGAAGAAAACCGAGUCAAAACUGUAAGAAAUCCGGGCGACUGAUUGGUGCGUGAGAACCGCGUCUAAUCGGGUUUGAAGAAAUCACACGGAAAAAUCGUUUAUGCAAGAAUCACUUAUUUGAAAUGCGGUCAUGAGCUUCUUCUUCGCCGUACGUUUCCACAUUUCCCUUCCGUCCCGCCUGCGUUUCAUGUUGCUUUCAGUUCACGUUGUAAGCUGCCACUGCCACUGUCUUUCACGCUAAUGCUUUUUCC